GUCGCGUUGUUCGUGAAAUCUCACGGCUUAACUGUGAGCGUGCGGGCGAUACGGGCAGACUAGAGUACUGCAGGGGAGACUGGAAUUCCUGGUGUAGCGGUGGAAUGCGCAGAUAUCAGGAGGAACACCGGUGGCGAAGGCGGGUCUCUGGGCAGUAACUGACGCUGAGGAGCGAAAGCGUGGGGAGCGAACAGGAUUAGAUACCCUGGUAGUCCACGCCGUAAACGGUGGGUACUAGGUGUGGGUUUCCUUCCUUGGGCUCCGUGCCGUAGCUAACGCAUUAAGUACCCCGCCUGGGGAGUACGGCCGCAAGGCUAAAACUCAAAGGAAUUGACGGGGGCCCCCACAAGCGGCGGAGCAUGUGGAUUAAUUCGAUGCAACGCGAAGAACCUUACCUGGGUUUGACAUGCACAGGACGCGUCUAGAGAUAGGCGUUCCCUUGUGGCCUGUGUGCAGGUGGUGCAUGGCUGUCGUCAGCUCGUGUCGUGAGAUGUUGGGUUAAGUCCCGCAACGAGCGCAACCCUUGUCUCAUGUUGCCAGCGGGUAAUGCCGGGGACUCGUGAGAGACUGCCGGGGUCAACUCGAAGGAAGGUGGGGAUGACGUCAAGUCAUCAUGCCCCUUAUGUCCAGGGCUUCACACAUGCUACAAUGGCCGGUACAAAGGGCUGCGAUGCCGUAAGGUUAAGCGAAUCCUUUUAAAGCCGGUCUCAGUUCGGAUUGGGGUCUGCAACUCGACCCCAUGAAGUCGGAGUCGCUAGUAA
rnacentral:rRNA from 1 species